UAUUCCACAAAACCAGGGAAUAGCGGCUUUACGUUCACAUGAUUGAGGGCCCGCCACAAAUUUACGCGGGCCGAAAAACAUAAAGGUCUACUUUUUCAAAAAAAAAAAUUAUGACGCGAGGGCGGCCAUGGCCGGUCAACGAGAAUUCUCUUGCAGGCGUUGGAUUUGAAAAAAAAUCCAAGAAGUCCAACAAAUUCAAGUCAAAUCACACCAAAUGCGGUGGCAAAUUAAAAAUUAAAUAUAAUCAGCAUUAAAUAGAGAUUUUCAAUUCGUCUGUCUCACUCUGCAAAAUCCUCGAAUCAGAUUUGCAUGGGUCUUGUGCUUCGAAAUCCCACCGAACGAUACCGAAUUUGUUGAGUCCCAAAAACCGACCUUGGAAUACCAUUUAUAGUCCUACGCACUGUUUGCCUGUGAAUUGCCAAUUUCAACUAUUAGGGUUUUGAGCUUCUGUUGAGAAUAAUAAGCAUACAAAAAAUCCGUGUAGAAUCUUUUAAUGUAAAAAUUAGCAGGGUUUUGGGUUCCGGGGAACUUGAAUUAGAGUUUUGUGUUCUCCGUAUAGAAUUAAGUGGCAUCGUAGGAUCCUUUUGAUGGUAGAGAAUUCAGCUUCUGUUGCUUUUUCUUAACAAAACAAAUUAGGAUUACAGGCACCGUAUUUUGUGAAAUAAGAUGGGGUUUUGACCUUGAUUUUUAAUUCUUUUGUCUUCAUUAUUAUUUUCAAUUAGAGAGCCUAUGUUUCUUUAGAUAAUAUUAGGGUCUGAGCUUUGUUCAAUUUGGAUUCCUUUUGCAGUGGGAAGAUAAUGUUAGGUUUUUGAGCCUCUGAUCAAUUUGGAGACCCCGUGAAAAGAUUUUGAAGUUUCGCACCCUUUUUCCUUUUGUGUAAGGUAAUGUUAGGGUUUUGAUCUUCUUUGGAAUCCUAAAGAUAUUGAAGAAUGGAGGGGUCAAGUAGUGGUGGUAGUGGGCCUCCUCCUUUUCUGACGAAAACAUUUGAUAUGGUGGAUGAUGCGGCGACGGAUUCUAUUGUGUCGUGGAGCCCUGGGAAUAAUAGUUUUGUGGUGUGGAAUCCGGCUGAAUUUUCUAGGGUUCUUCUUCCCACUUACUUCAAGCACAACAAUUUUUCCAGUUUCAUCAGGCAGCUCAAUACAUAUGGGUUUCGCAAAAUUGAUCCUGAGCGGUGGGAGUUUGCAAAUGAAGAUUUUUCGAGAGGUCAUAGGCAUUUGCUGAAAAACAUUCACCGGCGCAAGCCUGUUCACAGCCACAGCCAACAGCAGCAGCAUCUAGCAGAAAGUUCAGGUUCAGGGGCAUAUGCUGAGAUCAGGAAUCAUGAAUUGGAAGAUGAAAUUACAAAUCUCAAACAAGAAAAGCAAAUGCUGGUGAUGGAGUUAGUGAGGCUUGGGAAUCAGCAGCAGGGCACCGAGGUUCGGCUACAGUCAUUAGAGGAACGCUUGCAACAGAUGGAAAAGCGACAAGAACGACUAAUGGCAUUCUUAGCUAAGGCUAUGCAGAAUCCUAGAUUUAUGGCACACCUUGCUGAGAAAAAUGGGAAGAGUUUAGAUAUUGCUACAGCUAGUAAGAAAAGACGACUGCCCAAGCAUGACGACAUCAUCUUGCACAUUAGGGAGUGUGAUGAGGAUGGUCAAAUAAUAAAGCAUGAUGACAUCUUGCACGUUGGGGUGUGUGAUGGGGAGGAUGGCCAAUUAAUAAAAUAUAAUCCGCAUAUGACUGAUAUUACAAAGCCUGGGCUUAUGCAAAUUUACAACAAGGAUUUGACUGCAGAGCUUGAGACAUCAUCAGACACAUUAAUAAAUUUCUUCCAUGAUGUUGCAAGUGAUACUCUUUGUGAAGCAAAGGAUUGUGGAAGUCUCUCAAAUCACUCGCCAGAAGUAACUAUUGCAGAGAUUCAGGCAAGUCAUGGUUUCCCUGAUACACCCAUCUCUUUGGAGCUCACAGAUAUUCAUAGAGCUGCUUUAGCAGACCAGAACUCCUCUUUUAAGUUACAAGAAUUGUCUUGUUCGUCAAAGCUUAAAGAGAUGGUACCAUUGACAGGGUCAGUAGAAUGCAUUACUUCUGAUAUUUCAUGUAACUUAAGUUUGAAUCCUCUUUCUUCUCCAAUUGAAUUUAAUACCACAGAUGACAUGGAAAAGGUCACUGGCAACUUUGAGGAUGGAAGUUUUGCACGGCGUAACACAGAUAACAGAGAGACAAAUUCAGAAGCAAUACCUAUGGAGACAAGAUUUCCAGGUCAUGCAUCAAAGGUCAUGUUGGAAGAGAAGAUGGCUAAUGACAAAGGUCACGAGAAUAUCAGAGAUGGUACAGAUAAUGGCAUGAGCAGUGGGUCUAACAAGAAGAGAAUCAAUGAUUUGUUUUGGGAACGUUUUCUUACUGAGAUUCCAGAGGCAGAAGACACAGAAGGGGCUGAUUCUGAGAGUCAGGGGAGUGUUAGUAAGGAUGAAGAUGACAGUCCAUCUGAGAAAGGGAACUUGUGGAGAACGAAUAAGAAUCUGGACCAGCUAACACUGCAGAUGGGGCAGAUGACAUCAGUUCUAAAACCUUGAUAUCAAACUGGAGUAUUGAAGCUAUGCCACGGACAGCAGAAUAUUAGAGACAUCUUUGGAUUUGGAGAUUGCUAUGCUGAGCACAAGAUUUCUGAAUUAUUGUGCAGACAUAAAGAGUUAAUUGGAGUUUUAUUUCCAUGAAGAAGUUUGAGGAGUAAACUGGACUUCGGAGCGAUUUCAGCUGCCGUGGCUAAUUUCCAAAAUUUCUACAUUCUCUGGAGCUUCCCGGGACAAGACUUUUGGAGCUUUCUUAGAUUUCCCAGCAGACAGAAAAGCAGUGUUAAAAUUUGUAAAUAUAAUUGAAUAUCUGAAAAGGCAAGCGCUGCAUGCUCCAAAUAUUUUGUAUGUAAAGUAUGCUCCAGUUCUCUAAGAUUGCUUUUCUUUGUUCCAAGUUAAUCUCAAAGAUCACCAUGGAAUUGGCAAACACAAUUUACUAGUUUGACAGGCCGCUUUGGAAUUGGCAAAGUCUCUCCUUAUGACAUGCAAUGAAUUCGCCAUCCUGUCUUUUCACCACCUUCACAAACAUAUUGUAGUGGUUGCUACAGGAAUAAUACUAUGUUACCAGUUCACUCAAAUGGGCCCACCAGUUUGAAUGGGUCCAUGCCUUCGGGGAUGUCUCGGGUCUUGCCCUAGACCUGUAGGUUCGUUCAGGAUGAACUUCAAAGUACUUGCAGCAAAUUUGGCAGGGAUUGAUGCCUAGGUGAUGAAUUUUGGUGGUUUAUAAAAAAAAUUGAUUUCUAAGUUUGACUAAAAAGCCUAAACGCUCAUGUCUCUAUGUGAAUGGAUUGGUAUUCAAUGGUGCUCAUUCAUCAUGUUGGCCAUAAAUAGUGAAAGCAAUUAAUGAGACUCCAAAAGGGUAUGUGGGCAAAAGUUUUGAAAAAGUGCAUAGCACCUUAUUGGCUAAAAAAAGGUGAGGUUUGUAGAGGAGGGAUUGAAAUUUAUAAGAGAUUUGUGGGCUGAAAUGGGGUGUCUGUUGUUUCCAAUGGAUGAAAAGAUACUUAAAAUCAACCAUUGAUCAAUGUUAUUGCAAUAUCCCUUAUAGGGGCAAAGUUUUUGAGUGUAGUGGUUUAUGAAGGAGAGGUGAAUGAUGGUGCAUAUAUUGCUCACAUUUUCAUAACCACCAUUGAGGAAGUGAGCCUUAA